UUAUUGUAAACUUGCCUUGAUUUCUCUUCGAAAUAGUGAUAAAGUUGAACGUUGUAGGUCCCGUGGGAAUGCGGUGGUGGUCUCUGGUCAACAGGUAGAAUACCGACUGGCAGGGGAUUCGAAGUUGCGGAAGAAUAAGACGAAGAAGAAGUGGGGAUUCUUUUUUCACACGAAUAUGAGGACGACGACGGUGCAGGGGUGAGAUGGAAGUUUAUGCCAUAGUGUUCCUCGCAGCACGUAUCCUGAGCGAUACGAAUACAUGUAGGAGGUACGGGGUGGUACCCAGCUGUUAAAGGUCAGCGAAGUUGGCCACGUGGAGGACUAUAAUACACGAUUUUUCAGAUUUUCCAUUGAUUCGAAUGGGAUAAUUCGUGUGGCUGAUGAGUCGAAUGAAGAUAACGGACGAGAUAACCAGAUCCAUCCCCCGAACGUCUCAUUCUUAUUUAUUUCGUUUCAAUUCGCAUCAAACGUCUGAAAAAUCUAAGGUAAUUGCAUUCUUGGUCUCUCGAGAAAAAACAGUCAGAGGAUCAGAGGCUACAGUCUCCAGACAUUUGCAAUUUUGGGGGCUGGACAAUAGACCCAAGCAACAGUGAAGCUACGUGUCAGUUUUAUUUGGAUGUGGAUGCAACGUUGGUUGGAAAAUGCAGAAGAAUCGGUGUACAGAAUUUCCCAGGUGAUUGAUGACACUGUUUGUUGGUAGCCAAGGUGAUUGAAUAGUUCAUGAGG